ensembl:lncRNA
AUGAAAUAUGUUAUUCAAUAACUAAAAACAAACUUAUGACUUGCUUACUGUUUUGUUUACUGUAAAUAGGAUAGAACUUUAGAGUUCGGGGUUAUCAGAGUCAGUCAGAAAGGAAAAGUUAAUAAUCUUGGCGCCCUAUCCUUUCAGAACCAGCAAGCAGACCUCAGGGUUGAGAAAUUCACAGAACCCCCAAAGCACAGGAAACAAAAUUAAAAUAAGGCAAUAGGGUCACUCCAGCUGUCAUGUGCCUUUAAGAUUUACACUCCAGUUUCCCCAUGACAUUGGGACAUGCAGUGUUUGAAUAUACAUAUAUGGUAAGAGCAUUUACUGGUCACAUUAUCUUGACCAGAAAAUGAAGAAAAGAAUGAAAGAAAAACAUGAAAAAAUAAGAAGUGUUCUCAUAUUCUCACCCAGAGGAGCACUGAUGGGUUAUGAACCCUUUCAGAGUCAUACAGCAGAGAGAAAUGGUUGCCUUGGUAACAAGACAGGCCAGUCAGUUGCGCACACUCUCCCAAGAGCUUCUAAUUUAUUCAGUAAAUGGAGGCUAGAACAGGUGGCUAACCUAGAUGAUGGCAAAAACCUUUAUCUCUGCAAUGCUGGCUUCCUCCACAUUCACUUGAAUACAAAUUCUAGUCUCUUUCCUUUAUGCUGGAAAAGUUAACAUGCCGAUGUGACUGCACAUGUCUUAGUACACAGGAAAGCUGUGAGCAUUUGUCAUUUUCUAACCACAUAUCAUAGUGUCUGAGAUUUCACAAAAUUAUGAUACCACAGCUUCGUGUCACCAGUUACUUUGAAAGUGAAAAUCACUGCAAGCCCGAUUACUGGUCUUCCAGUAAAUCAGAUAUCAUUGUGAAUUUUAAAAGGAAGAGAGAGUUUAUUGCUGAGUUUCACAAUGCUUGCUUUAAAUGACAAACAACCUCAAAAAUUCCAAUUCCAUAAAGCCAUCUGCAAGCACAGGAGUGAAACCAAUUUUGGAUUGUCAUUAAAAAAAUAGAAGGAAUCAUAUCAAGCCACUUAAAGCCAAAGUUAUUUAUUAUAGAAUUAAAUAAUGUCAUAUAGAGAAUGUGUCUGAGAAGUUAGUGGUACUUUUUGAAAAUACAGCACGAAUACUUUCAUGGAUGCCUUUCCAUUUCCUUUUCUAGCCUCAUAUCUAAACUCCCCCUAGUAUAUCUGAAGCUUCAGACAGCAGGAUCCCAGGGCAUCCUGCUCCUCACAUUUCUGCCCUUUGCUGCUGCUCUUGUCAGAUGUGCUUCCAGCACCGCAUUCCAUGCUCGGUGCAUAGUCACUCUCAAGGCUACAUGCAAACACUUCUCUCUUCCUAAACCCUUUCUUCCUUGACCCAUUGGGAACAGUUGCUUGCAUGAUAAGAAACUCCCCAUGUACCCCUCUACAAGUGACUCCAUCACUGGUUUCCAUACUGACAUUUCCUUCAGAUUGAGUCUGUCACAUCUCUCAGAUCUUAGAUGUAGGGACUGCAUUAUAAUCAUGCCUCAUGUCAAAAGCGUUUCCAGGCACAUAGUAUGAAAUCAUAAUUAUCUGAUGAAAGAAUGAAUGAAUUAAUGAAUAAGUCAACUGAUGACUGUCUAAAUGAAAUGACUGACCAAAAUUCUGCACAUGUCUGCUAGAUAAUAUUUUCUGAAAUUGAAAUUUUACUAUUUUAAAAAAGGCUUGAAAAUCAUUCUGGAGUCUCUUACAAAUGCAGUACUAAAUGGAGCUUAUCUUUGUAAUUUGGUUUUGAUCUGUCUUCAAGCUGCUGACCCUGUGAAUUCCCCGACUCUGAGAAACCCCACUAAAUAUCAGAAGAUUCCAAGAACAGACCUUGAAAUACACUAGACUCGAUAUAGGACAUCAUCAGUCUCACUUGACUACUCCAAGCCACAUAGAAUUAGUUGUUUCCAGAGGUGACCUUGUGGAGUGUGGAUGUUUCCUUGACAACCAUGAUAACCACCUCCAGCAUGUAGGGGAAAUACUUCUCUGCUUGUUUUCUACUCCACUGCCAUAGAGAUGCUCUGUUGAUUCAAAGAAAAAAAGAACCUCUCCUUUGUAAAAUGCAGUCAGCUCCUCGGGGCCAUUGCAAGUUAUGCUGGAAAACAAGAGCUGCUUUCAACAUCACAAUCUGCCUUGAAGAACUAAGAGAGAAGACUCUGCUAAUAUUACGUCAAGAAUGCCUUAUACCAGGCCCUAACAUCAGAGAAUGCAAAAUUUCCAUAGAAAACCUGGAAAGGAGAAGAGGAAACACAAGAAAAAGCACCUGGUGCAGAGCCCUAAUUCCUACUUGAGGUUGUGAAAUGACCUGGAUGUUAUUAAAUCACCACAAUCUUUAGCCAUGCAGAAAUGGUGGUCCACCGCCCACUGUCAACCCAAGGAGGAAAAGGGCAGCUGACAAAAGGAUGCUCCUUCUGGAGAAACACACAUAAACAGCUGACCUGAACAAAGGGUUGCUCAUGGACCCCAGACUGAUAGCUGGAAAACCAGCAUAGGACUGUUCGAGACCCCCUGAAAGAGGAUGCCAGUUUGGAGGUCUGGACAUCUUUGGGGCCACUAGUAGUGGAUCAGUAUUUACCCCUAGUACACAAAUGAACUUUGGGGUCCCUCUCUUCAUAGAGGGAUAUUCUGGCAGCCUAGACACACGGGGAAGGUCUAGGCCCUGCUCCAAAUGAUGACAGCCUUUGAAGAUCCUCACCCUCCCUGGGGAGCAGAAAGGGGUUGGGAUAGGGGGAUAGGUGCUGGGCAAGGGAGGGGGCGAGGAAAGGAAACUGAGACUGGCAUGUAAAAGAAGCUUGUUUCUAGUUUAAAUUUAAAAAUAAAACAGAAAAAAAAAACAAAGGAUGCUCAUUCAGAAGGAAGCUGGAGUGAAAGCACCUAAUUCAAGAUGAGUGGGAACUGUCCCAAGAAACAUGUUUUGGAGAAAGAUAGAAGGGGGGAGAGAGAGAGAGAGAGAGAGAGAGAGAGAGAGAGAGAGAGAGAGAGAGAGAAUAAAAAAAGAAAUUUUCCCUGUUCAUCAGAUAAAUGUUUCAACCAAAAAUAUUGGAGAAAAUAGAAAAAUGACACACAACUACUGUGGAGCAACAAAUUAU